rnacentral:lncRNA from 1 species
GUUAUUUUUUAUUUUUUUACAACCCCUGUAACAAGGGCUGACUUGCAAUAAAUCGCAGCAAGGAAGCUCCUCUGUGACCCAGAAGCAGGAUGUCUACAAAUGGUUCAGCACCAGGUUCCCCACAAAGGUCCAGGGCAUGAUGGCCAAGGGGGCAGCCUGGCUUUCAGUCCAUAUGCCCUAUUUCCCAGGAUGAAGGGCUCUCGGCACCAGACUGGACCCCAGUCCCGAGGCACAGCGGCCUUCUAUGGGGGACAGUGGGGACAGGCGCGGCGGGGGAAGGGGAUGCUAUCUGAGGCCAACCGAGGCUCCUGUGGUACUGCCCUACUGUUCCGCCUGGGUGGGAUUCUGACUUAGAGACAUUCAGUCAUAAUCCCACAGAUGGUAGCUUUGCCCCACGGGCUCCUCAGCCAAGCACAGGCACCAAGUGAGGACCUAGUAUAAAAUUUGUAGCAUUAGUCAAGCUAGGGAUGUGCUGUUUGAUUUUGUGUCCUCAUCAGAGUCACCAUUUAUUUAUAUGCACAUGGCACUCUGGCGAACACAGGGACAAACAGGAUCCAGCUCCAUUACCUGCCAAAAAGAAACGACUAUUCCAACCUUAGAUUCAACACGCCCACCAGUCUCGUGAGUAUGUGGGUGGCCAGACCUAGGAAAGGCAAGUGUGUUCCUCCCACUGGUCCGUCUCUUCCCUGAGACCCUGGAUACCGGCUCUUCUUCACAGAGGAUUAUCCUGGGGUUAUUCAGAUGAUGAUGCUUUUGCAGAGAGAAAGCAUCUAGCCAUAACCUCACUUGUCAUUCAGAUGAACACUGCCAAACUUGCUGAAAGGUGGCUCAAAGAGUGGCCCUAUGACUAUCUCGGUGUAUCCAAUUUCCUGUCUGUCUCAGUUUCUUCUUCAGACAAUGUUGACAUUAGAAGGACACCCUCCCACCCCUGCACCUCUGCUCACAACCAGAACAGGGAUACAUCUGUUUUAGUCUGAGAGUCCCGAAUGGAUUCUUGCAAGAGAUUAUAAAAUGACGAAGAUCCAAUGAAAUGGCAAGCUAUAGAAGGAAGAAAGUAUCUGCAAAUCAAAUAUCUGAUAAGGGGUUAAGAUCCAAAAUAUACAAAGAACUCUCAACAAUACAACAACAACACAACAACAAAUGCCAUUUUAAAAAUGGCUGAGGAACUAAAUGAUUAUUUUUCCAAAGAGGACAUACAAAUGACCAACAGAUACAUGAAAAGAUGCUCAACAUCACUAAUCAUCAGAGAAAUACAAAUCAAAACCACAAGGAGAUAUCACUUCACAUGUGUCAGAAGAGCUAUUAUCAGAAAGCAAGAGAUAACCUGAAAAAAGGACAGAAUGAACUUCUUUGCAGAACAGAUACUGACUCACAGACUUUGAAAAACUUAUGGUUUCCAAAGAAGACAGUUCAGGGGUUGGGGGGAGGCACUGGGGUUGUGGGCUGGAAACCCUAUAAAACUGGAUUGUGAUGAUCAUUGUACAACUAUAAAUGUAAUAAAUUCAUUGAAAAAAAAAAAGAGAUAACCAGUGUUGGUGAGAAUGUGGAGAAAAGGAAACACUUUUGCACUGUUGGCAGGAAUAUAAAAUUGGUGCAGCCACUAUGGAAAACAGUAGGAAGGUUCUUCAAACCUCAAAAACUUAAAAAUAGAAUUAACAUAUGCUCUAGCAAUCCCACUUCUGGGUAUAUAUUCAAAGGAACUGAAGUUACUAUCUCAAAGAGAUUCUGUAGCUCCAUGUUCCCUGUAGCCUUAUUCACAAUAGCCAAGACAUGGAAACAACCUAAGUGUCUAUCAACAGAUGAACAGAUUUUAAAAAUAUGGUGUAUAUACACAAUAGAAUAUUAUUCAGCCAUAAUAAAACAGGAAAUCUUGCCAUUUGGGAGAGUAUGGAUGGAUCCUGAAGGUAUCAUGCUAAGUAAACUAUGUCAGAUGUAUGAUCUUACAUGCAGAAUUGAAAAAAAAAAACUGAUAGAAACAGAACAGUUUGGUGGUUGCCAGAGGGUGAAGGUGGUCACUAGGUACACACUUCCAGUUAUAAGAUAAAUAAGUUCUGGAGCUAGAAUGCAUAGCGUGGUGACAAUAGCUAAUAAUACUAUAUUGUAUAUUUGAAAGUUGCUAAGAGUUAAUCUUGAAAAUUCUCAUCAUGAGAAAAAAAUGUAACCGUGUGAGGUGAUGAAUGUUAACUAAACUUAUAAUAGUGAUCAUCUCACAAUACAUACAAAUAUUGAAUCAUUAUGUUCUACAUCUUAAGCUAAUACAAUGUUAUAUGUCAAUUGUAUCUCAAUAAAAUUGUAUCUCAAAACCCACUGCAUUUCAUUAGGAUACUUCUUCCCCAAUGCUGUUAUCCAUAAUUUUGGGCUGCCUUUUUUUUUUUUUUUAAUACCCUGGGUGGAUAACCUGCAGUUCCCCUCAUGACACACUCUCACACAGAUAGAGAGAAGGUGACUGGGAGUUGAGCAUGGCUGAGCCUCUACUCUGGUGGUCUCACAGGUAUGCAAGGUUUGAGUUUCUAAAUUCAGUUUCAGGAGCAAAGGAGGAGGCGGAUGUCCUACUGCACGGUUAAAUACAGUUUUCUUCAUAUAUCCUAGUUAGUAGAUGUAAAAUUGUGACUGCUUUUGUUUUUUAGCAGUUUACAUGAGAGGCAUAAUUUGUAAAAAUCAACUAUUCAUACACAGCCAAUUCUAUAUUAUUCACAAUUAGAUAAAGUGGAAGAAUGAUACAUAAAAUCUCAGGCAAGGUGCAACCCCCCCAACAUGUAUCAUGCGUGACUGGGGAGGGCUGUGGGGAAGAGGAGGAGUUAUCUUUUAAGUCAUAUUGUCAUGGGGCAGAGUGGAGAUGCUCAGCCAUUAGUAGCCCCACUCAGCCAACAGCAUCUCAGUGGCCUGGGUAGCAGCAGUCACCCAGAUAGCUAUUGGGUGGUCUGAGGAGCCUGAGGGCUGAAUGGAUCCUCAGCACCUGACUUCUGCAACCAUGAUGACUGGACUGGGUCUGAGGAUCUAGCCAGGAGGGCACUGCCAGCUGAUAUCUGCUUCUUCCUGGGCACUGGUGGAAGGACCCAGGCUGGGUGCUGCACGAAUGCUCCUGGGCAGGGUAACUGGCUAGAACAGGGACACCCUUGUCUUAGCCAAGGUCUAGACCUCAGCAGGCAAAAGUCAAUCCUUGGGACCCUGAACAAGUAAAAUGAGGGGUAAUGAUGUUGCUGUGCUGACAGGGUUUGUCAACAUGCGUUUUGAUGGAAAUUUACAGGAACAUUGUGACCUGACUGUGACCUAUGCGGACAGCUGCAAGAACAAAGGAUCCAACCUCAAAAAGUUUGCAACAACUAACCAUGCCUCUCCUCUCCCUGACUUUUCCUGCACAAGAGCUUUGCUGAAAGUCUUGGAGGAAUUUGGGGUUUCUAGAGCAUAAGCCACCUGUCUCCUUGCAUGGCCCUGCAAUAAACCUUUCUCUGCUCCAAAUUCCAGUGUUUUGAUAUGGUCUGGCCUCUGUGUGUGUGGGGGGGGGGUGCAGGGACUUGCAUUCAGUAAUGAUAUAUAGGCUAAUAUUCAAAUUGAUUCAUAUUUUACAAACUUCUGGACCUAUAAAGGAGCCACUGCCACAGACAAUUCACAAAGCGGUGUAUACUAAUAACUUAAAGGGACUGGUUUUAGUCUGUAGGAUCAUGGGAGAGGCUUUGGCCAUUCACUUUGCUAGAAUUCAUCAUGGAGUGACUGGCUGCUGGUGAUCAGGAGUGACGUUUACCCAGGUCCUGCUCCAGCUGGAAAUCCUUGCCCAUGUCAUGUCACCGCAGGGUCACAGGGCACCUGGAUGGGUAUCUCUACAUUCAUCUAGUGGGGAAGAGUUCGGGUAGGUUUACCGUGACAAAAAACGCUCGAUCAGAGGACUAUGUGGCUCCCAAUUUUGGCUUCUAGUUCCAGACCCCUCCUCCUCGUUCUGUCCACACAGGGAGCUUUGCUGACGCAGAGGCCCUUGCGGCUGUCAUGGCAACAAAAAGGCAGACAAAGCCGCCAGGACGGGCUGGCCCGUGUGACUCAAAGAUCUGUUUACCCACACUCCUGUACACACCUGUAUGCUUCCUCUCAUACACACUGCUACAAAUGCACACGUGCUCACACUGGCAUGCAGAAGCAUGUGUGGACAGACUGCCAAGCACACAAAUGGCCACACAGUCAUGUUCUUAUUAAUCUUCAAAGCCUGUGUUUCCAAAGUGCGUCACUGCCCCCAGUGGAACCUUGCCCAUCUUCCUGUAGCACGGGUGCUUGAGGCAGGAGGAAGUUGGGUUAGACAUCAAAAAACAGAAACAAAACAAAAUAAAACCAAAAAAACCAAACCAAACCCAAACCAAAUCUCCUCUUACCCUAACUGUUCUGAAACAAAGAGACUGGGGGAAGUCAGAGGCAGUCAUGGGUUCACAGUGUUUUUAUUUCAGUUUCACUGGAAAACGGCAUUGGGGGGGAGGCAUAAAGUAGUUUUUUUGAUGCACUUAGGAGCCUGGGGGGACCUUGUCUCCCCUUUUGCAGAGGAGCAAACAAGCCCAGAGAAGGUAAACACCUUCUUGAAGGUCACACGGUUCAGCUGCAUUAACAGUUGACUCCUUAUCCCUUGAUUUGUUCCAGAAAGGAUUUAAGGAGACAUAGGUUGUCAAUAAAUAAAGGCCAAAAUGGUACCCAGGCCUCUAAAUGCCAUCCAGUGUUGACUCUAAUAAGCAGAAUGGAUGGGCACCCAGGAGGGUGAGGGAUGCGUGAACUCAGGCACUGCAUCAUGUUAUGUCGCUUCUCCUUAGAGUGUGAGGCUUUGGGAAGGCACCUCUGCUGAGGAAAGCCUCUCCCCAAAGCGGUAAUUAAGGGCAAGCAAAUGGCUGUAUCCCACCCCCACUACCCCACGUGACACCCACAGCAAUGACAGAAAGGCCACAAGUCUCACAGGCCGGAAGAGCAGGUGGGAAGGGCAUGACACAUCACCUCUCAAACCUCGGCUUUCAGGAAACCAAGGUGCACAGAGGUCAGAGGGCCUGCUGGCCUAAGGCCAACAGCGUGGGGGGUGGGGUGGGGGGUGGGGCUACAUGGAGCAUCACUUCCAUUUCCAGGCUCUAAAGCCAGGGCCAUUCCACCUCGUCAUGAUGUUUCAGUCAUGAGACCUAGAAGAGGUAGAUUCUUUUAGUGUCUUUGGAAAUUUUCUCAGUCUUUUUUUGUUUUUUCUUCUUCUUAACAUGGAGAUCUUGUUUAUUUGUUUGAUUAGAUGCCGGGGAAGGCCUUGCAAUUAACAUGAAGAAGAUAAUGAAGGAGCUGGAGUGUGUGUCCUGCUUUCUUUUUAACCCCGAAGGUGGUAUAAUCCAGACUGUUACAGCACAAUGAUUCAAAGUUCUGACACAAGACUGAACUGGGUUUGAGUCACAGCUUGACCUCAGGCAAGUUCUUAACCUCACUUGCAAAGGAGGAAUAAACCCAGUACCUCUCAAAGCAUUUUAGUAUUAAACUGAACAAGAGAUGCAAAGUGUGUAGUCUAGCACAGAAUAGGUAUUUCAAGAGUCAAUUUUAACUAAGCAUUGCUAACAUUCCUAAGAAUGUAUCAUAGUGCACAAAACCUUCUAUCAAGGCCCUCUCCCAUCCAUCUCACUCUCUUCCCCAUUCUGCUUUGAAAAGAUAAUUUAUUGAGUGCUUACUAUGCGGUUGGCAUUGCUUUAGCUCAUGGGGAUACAGCAGCAAACAUAAGAGCAAAAAUCCUGGCCCCAUGGAGCUUACAUUCCCAAAGAAGAGACAGACAACAGAUAAUAAGCACAAUAUGAAGU